rnacentral:rRNA from 1 species
AACGAACGCUGGCGGCAUGCCUAACACAUGCAAGUCGAACGGGAUCCUAGCUUGCUAGGUGAGAGUGGCGGACGGGUGAGUAACACGUGGGAAUCUGCCUUUUGGUUCGGGAUAACCGCGGGAAACUGCGGCUAAUACCGAAUGCCCUCGAGAGAGGAAAGAUUUAUCGCCAGAAGAGGAGCCCGCGUCCGAUUAGGUAGUUGGUGGGGUAAAGCCUACCAAGCCGACGAUCGGUAGCUGGUCUGAGAGGAUGAUCAGCCACACUGGGACUGAGAUACGGCCCAGACUCCUACGGGAGGCAGCAGUGGGAAUAUUGGACAAUGGGGCAACCCUGAUCCAGCAAUGCCGCGUGAGUGAUGAA